rnacentral:rRNA from 1 species
AUUGAACGCUGGCGGCAUGCCUUACACAUGCAAGUCGAACGGCAGCACGGGUGCUUGCACCUGGUGGCGAGUGGCGAACGGGUGAGUAAUACAUCGGAACAUGUCCUGUAGUGGGGGAUAGCCCGGCGAAAGCCGGAUUAAUACCGCAUACGAUCCAUGGAUGAAAGCGGGGGACCUUCGGGCCUCGCGCUAUAGGGUUGGCCGAUGGCUGAUUAGCUAGUUGGUGGGGUAAAGGCCUACCAAGGCGACGAUCAGUAGCUGGUCUGAGAGGACGACCAGCCACACUGGGACUGAGACACGGCCCAGACUCCUACGGGAGGCAGCAGUGGGGAAUUUUGGACAAUGGGCGAAAGCCUGAUCCAGCAAUGCCGCGUGUGUGAAGAAGGCCUUCGGGUUGUAAAGCACUUUUGUCCGGAAAGAAAUCCUUGGCUCUAAUACAGUCGGGGGAUGACRGUACCGGAAGAAUAAGCACCGGC